rnacentral:rRNA from 1 species
UACGAGGGGGGCGAGCGUUGUUCGGAAUUAUUGGGCGUAAAGGGUGCGUAGGCGGUUUGGUAAGUCUUAUGUGAAAUCUAUGGGCUCAACUCAUAGACUGCAUGAGAAACUGCCGGGCUUGAGUAUGGGAGAGGUGAGUGGAAUUCCUGGUGUAGCAGUGAAAUGCGUAGAUAUCAGGAGGAAUACCGAUGGCGAAGGCAGGUCUCUGGGCUAGAACUGACGCUCAUGCACGAAAGCGUGGGGAGCAAACAGG